AGAAAAGGUCCCACAACAGCAUUGACCAAAUUAUCAAUCAGAGAAAACAAAGGAGCUGAAUUUGUGAAGAUAGAGGACUAUAAUGAAAAUACCAUAUUUUAUUAACAAGGCAACCGACACUUACCUAUGGUUUAAAUCCUUUUUGGCUUUAAAGGCCAACAUUUACUCCAUCAAUAAUAGCUUCAAAUGGCCCAUAAUAAUCAAGCUAUUUCUACAGUCAAACAUUUGUUUUACCCUUAUUAGAGACACAAAUAAUAUAUAUAUACUGUUUGAAGAUAUGACAUGGUCAGUCAUGAAGCAGUAGCAGCUACAUAUACCAUAGAAAAUGUUAGUAUGUAGUAAUAAGAUUGAUCCUAAAAGAUGAGAAUAUAAAAUCUGCAAUAUAUCACUCAUGGGUAAUAUACAUCUGUUUCUAUCUGAAAAGCAGUUCACCCACAUCUUCUGAGAACUAACUAUCCCUAAUCCAGCACCCGAGUCAUCCAAAAACAAUUUGGAGUUACAAAAUUUCUUGACGAUUGUUUCAAUUGUAUAAUUUGAGUUAACCUUUGGUAGUUUGAUUACUUUCCAUGUGGGAUUACAGGGGACGCAUUUACAAAGCUAUUAAUGUAGUGUUUGUAUUUGUUGGUUUUAUAUUGUGUGUGCAGUAUAUCUUGCUUUUUAUUUUCAUUUAUGAAUUCCUCUCUUAGAUUUCAGCCUUUGCUUGCAGAGAAUUGCUUAGAGGACCUCUAUAUGAUGGUUUAGUCUUAAUUUUGAGUGCAUUUCACUUUUGGUGUGAAUCACCGGUUGGAGUAAAUUCAUUAGCAAUGAUGGAUGGUGGUGAUGGUAAGAGCUAACUUUUGUAUCUCACUAAGUCUAAGAUUGCUUCGUUCGAUUGUCACUGUGAAAGCAGUAAAACUUUUUGUAUGGUAUUUUCUACUCAAUCCAUUCCAAAUUUUCUUGGAUUUUUCUUUGCUACAAAAUCCAUAACAAAAACAAUAAAAAGAUUCAAUUAACAUUCUUCAACUUUGUCUAUAUAUAAAAAGGGUAAACUUGCAUUGUUCAAAAUUUGAUUCAACAUAUAGUCACAGGUUCUCUUUCUUUUCCUUAUCUCAUUUUCCAAUCUCUUCUUCCUGUUAUCUUCCUUCUUUUCCUGACCGUGACGGAGUUCUAUUGCAUCUCAAAAAUGGCAGCAAUGUGUGCCUCUGUUUGUGCUGGAGUUUUUUGUAAUUACAGAUAUUUCUGCUGGAAACCAUAUUUAUAUAUCCUUCUAUUGUUUUUUGAGUAUUAAGAUAUAUAUUGACUGACUGAAUACACAAUUUCUGUCAUGAUCAGUGAUCUGAUAGUGUCGGUCCAGAACUGAUGACCAACAACUUGCAACUAUGAUAUGUUUUUAAUUAUAAUGUGCUUUGACAUACCCAUGCCUGAAUGAAAAUGAAAACGAAGGGGCAGGGCAGAAUUUUGUGUUGUCGCCCCACUGAAAAUACACUUCACUCUUGAGCACGAGUAUAACUUGCAAAAGGGUGGAUUUUAGCGUGAUCGAUGUUUGGAGUUAAAUUAAUAAUUUUCUAAAUAUCAAUAAUAAUCGAAUACUGUACAGAGCUCGAUCUAUCAAUGUCAUAAAAUUGCAAAGAUGGAUAUAACUUAGUUUUCUAUUUCUAUGCUCAUCUUCAUUGUUUUCUGCAUUGGUUUACACACUGCUAAAAGGAAAUUUUUCUCAGGUGUAUGCACAAAGACACUUCUUCGAUGGUAAGUUGGGAUCUGCCAUUUAAGGACUUGAAGCAUUAUGAAGGCCCGAUCUGUCAUUUGUGGAUCAAAUACAUCAGCCAAUUGCAUUAUGUGUACUCCAUAUAUUGUUUAAAUUGCGACAUGAAGAUAUGUCUAAAGAAUGUCAAGGCUCUCAUUUACAACUGAAACAAUUAUUGAAAUGCAUUCUUUGAGGGCUUAUGUGUCAAGGGGUCUACGAGAGAUCAAGCGCAUUCGUUGAGGACUCAACUAGGAGUUGCAGUUGGAGGAUUGAAGCACUCACAAGUGGAGGCAUCAAGAAACGAGCUUGUUGUAGGAAACGCUCUUACUGAAGAUUUCAACAAUACAUGAGGAUGUAAUAUAGAGUUAAUAUAAAUAUAUAAGUGAUUCUUUUUAAAUACUUGAUAAUAAUCUCUCAAGCUUAAA